UACGUAGGGGGCGAGCGUUGUCCGGAUUUAUUGGGCGUAAAGCGUGCGCAGGCGGUUCGUUGUGUCGGUGGUGAAAUCCCCGGGCUUAACCUGGGAAUGGCCAUGGAAACUGGCGAACUGGAGUGCGGCAGAGGGGGGUGGAAUUCCGCGUGUAGCAGUGAAAUGCGUAGAGAUGCGGAGGAACACCGAUGGCGAAGGCAGCCCCCUGGGCUAGCACUGACGCUCAGGCACGAAAGCGUGGGGAGCAAACAGG
rnacentral:rRNA from 1 species